GUCACUCAUGACUGUCAUCGCUGACAUCCAAAAUCAUUUAGAUUUUCAUUUUUGAUCAUUGAUCAUGUUUAUCUUAUAUUUUUGAUAAUUUUUUUAUUUUUUUACGGGAGGAACCCGUCAGAAAUGGUGACAGGCUCACGCAUUUCGAUCCACGUCAGACUUUCAAGAGGGGCCCAGCUUCGACUUCUUCAAAUAACAAACACCAAUAACAUCCGUUGUGAAUAAUAAGUGUUUUAUUCUCCUAAUUGGAGACAAAAUAUUGAAUUGUCUAACGCAAAUGUAAAUAAAGAAUCUUCAGGAUGUUGACAAAUUA